GAUGAACGCUGGCGGCGUGCCUAAUACAUGCAAGUCGAGCGAACGGACGAGAAGCUUGCUUCUCUGAUGUUAGCGGCGGACGGGUGAGUAACACGUGGAUAACCUACCUAUAAGACUGGGAUAACUUCGGGAAACCGGAGCUAAUACCGGAUAAUAUUUUGAACCGCAUGGUUCAAAAGUGAAAGACGGUCUUGCUGUCACUUAUAGAUGGAUCCACGCUGCAUUAGCUAGUUGGUAAGGUAACGGCUUACCAAGGCAACGAGGCAUAGCCGACCUGAGAGGGUGAUCGGCCACACUGGAACGGAGACACGGUCCAGACUCCUACGGGAGGCAGCAGUAGGGAAUCUUCCGCAAUGGGCGAAAGCCUGACGGAGCAACGCCGCGUGAGUGAUGAAGGUCUUCGGAUCGUAAAACUCUGUUAUUAGGGAAGAACAUAUGUGUAAGUAACUGUGCACAUCUUGACGGUACCUAAUCAGAAAGCCACGGCUAACUACGUG
rnacentral:rRNA from 1 species